rnacentral:rRNA from 1 species
AGCAGCCGCGGUAAUUCCAGCUCCAAUAGCGUAUAUUAAAGUUGUUGCAGUUAAAAAGCUCGUAGUUGAAUUUCGGGGCCAGUAGGUUGGUCGUGCCACUGGUAUGCACUGGCCUUACUGGUCCCUCCUUCUUGUAGAACCGUGAUGGCAUCAAUUUGUUGUUGCGGGGAAUCAGGACUGUUACUUUGAAAAAAUUAGAGUGUUUAAAGCAGGCUCGCGCUUGAAUACAUUAGCAUGGAAUAAUGAAAUAGGACGUUUGAUCCUAUUUUGUUGGUUUCUAGGAUUGACGUAAUGAUUAAUAGGGAUAGUUGGGGGCAUUAGUAUUCAAUUGUCAGAGGUGAAAUUCUUGGAUUUAUUGAAGACUAACUACUGCGAAAGCAUUUGCCAAGGAUGUUUUCAUUAAUCAAGAACGAAAGUUAGGGGAUCGAAGACGACCAGAUACCGUCGUAGUCUUAACCAUAAACUAUGCCGACUAGGGAUCGGAUGAUGUUAAUUUUUUAAUGACUCAUUCGGCGCCUUA